rnacentral:rRNA from 1 species
GGGUUGUGAGGUUAAGCGACUAAGCGUACACGGUGGAUGCCCUGGCAGUCAGAGGCGAUGAAGGACGUGCUAAUCUGCGAUAAGCGUCGGUAAGGUGAUAUGAACCGUUAUAACCGGCGAUUUCCGAAUGGGGAAACCCAGUGUGUUUCGACACACUAUCAUUAACUGAAUCCAUAGGUUAAUGAGGCGAACCGGGGGAACUGAAACAUCUAAGUACCCCGAGGAAAAGAAAUCAACCGAGAUUCCCCCAGUAGCGGCGAGCGAACGGGGAGGAGCCCAGAGCCUGAAUCAGUGUGUGUGUUAGUGGAAGCGUCUGGAAAGGCGCGCGAUACAGGGUGACAGCCCCGUACACAAAAAUGCACAUACUGUGAGCUCGAUGAGUAGGGCGGGACACGUGGUAUCCUGUCUGAAUAUGGGGGGACCAUCCUCCAAGGCUAAAUACUCCUGACUGACCGAUAGUGAACCAGUACCGUGAGGGAAAGGCGAAAAGAACCCCGGCGAGGGGAGUGAAAAAGAACCUGAAACCGUGUACGUACAAGCAGUGGGAGCCUCUUUUAUGGGGUGACUGCGUACCUUUUGUAUAAUGGGUCAGCGACUUAUAUUCUGUAGCAAGGUUAACCGAAUAGGGGAGCCGAAGGGAAACCGAGUCUUAACUGGGCGUUAAGUUGCAGGGUAUAGACCCGAAACCCGGUGAUCUAGCCAUGGGCAGGUUGAAGGUUGGGUAACACUAACUGGAGGACCGAACCGACUAAUGUUGAAAAAUUAGCGGAUGACUUGUGGCUGGGGGUGAAAGGCCAAUCAAACCGGGAGAUAGCUGGUUCUCCCCGAAAGCUAUUUAGGUAGCGCCUCGUGAAUUCAUCUCCGGGGGUAGAGCACUGUUUCGGCAAGGGGGUCAUCCCGACUUACCAACCCGAUGCAAACUGCGAAUACCGGAGAAUGUUAUCACGGGAGACACACGGCGGGUGCUAACGUCCGUCGUGAAGAGGGAAACAACCCAGACCGCCAGCUAAGGUCCCAAAGUCAUGGUUAAGUGGGAAACGAUGUGGGAAGGCCCAGACAGCCAGGAUGUUGGCUUAGAAGCAGCCAUCAUUUAAAGAAAGCGUAAUAGCUCACUGGUCGAGUCGGCCUGCGCGGAAGAUGUAACGGGGCUAAACCAUGCACCGAAGCUGCGGCAGCGACGCUGAUGCGUUGUUGGGUAGGGGAGCGUUCUGUAAGCCUGUGAAGGUGUGCUGUGAGGCAUGCUGGAGGUAUCAGAAGUGCGAAUGCUGACAUAAGUAACGAUAAAGCGGGUGAAAAGCCCGCUCGCCGGAAGACCAAGGGUUCCUGUCCAACGUUAAUCGGGGCAGGGUGAGUCGACCCCUAAGGCGAGGCCGAAAGGCGUAGUCGAUGGGAAACAGGUUAAUAUUCCUGUACUUGGUGUUACUGCGAAGGGGGGACGGAGAAGGCUAUGUUGGCCGGGCGACGGUUGUCCCGGUUUAAGCGUGUAGGCUGGUUUUCCAGGCAAAUCCGGAAAAUCAAGGCUGAGGCGUGAUGACGAGGCACUACGGUGCUGAAGCAACAAAUGCCCUGCUUCCAGGAAAAGCCUCUAAGCAUCAGGUAACAUCAAAUCGUACCCCAAACCGACACAGGUGGUCAGGUAGAGAAUACCAAGGCGCUUGAGAGAACUCGGGUGAAGGAACUAGGCAAAAUGGUGCCGUAACUUCGGGAGAAGGCACGCUGAUAUGUAGGUGAAGUUCCUCGCGGAUGGAGCUGAAAUCAGUCGAAGAUACCAGCUGGCUGCAACUGUUUAUUAAAAACACAGCACUGUGCAAACACGAAAGUGGACGUAUACGGUGUGACGCCUGCCCGGUGCCGGAAGGUUAAUUGAUGGGGUCAGCGCAAGCGAAGCUCUUGAUCGAAGCCCCGGUAAACGGCGGCCGUAACUAUAACGGUCCUAAGGUAGCGAAAUUCCUUGUCGGGUAAGUUCCGACCUGCACGAAUGGCGUAAUGAUGGCCAGGCUGUCUCCACCCGAGACUCAGUGAAAUUGAACUCGCUGUGAAGAUGCAGUGUACCCGCGGCAAGACGGAAAGACCCCGUGAACCUUUACUAUAGCUUGACACUGAACAUUGAGCCUUGAUGUGUAGGAUAGGUGGGAGGCUUUGAAGUGUGGACGCCAGUCUGCAUGGAGCCGACCUUGAAAUACCACCCUUUAAUGUUUGAUGUUCUAACGUGGACCCGUGAUCCGGGUUGCGGACAGUGUCUGGUGGGUAGUUUGACUGGGGCGGUCUCCUCCUAAAGAGUAACGGAGGAGCACGAAGGUUGGCUAAUCCUGGUCGGACAUCAGGAGGUUAGUGCAAUGGCAUAAGCCAGCUUGACUGCGAGCGUGACGGCGCGAGCAGGUGCGAAAGCAGGUCAUAGUGAUCCGGUGGUUCUGAAUGGAAGGGCCAUCGCUCAACGGAUAAAAGGUACUCCGGGGAUAACAGGCUGAUACCGCCCAAGAGUUCAUAUCGACGGCGGUGUUUGGCACCUCGAUGUCGGCUCAUCACAUCCUGGGGCUGAAGUAGGUCCCAAGGGUAUGGCUGUUCGCCAUUUAAAGUGGUACGCGAGCUGGGUUUAGAACGUCGUGAGACAGUUCGGUCCCUAUCUGCCGUGGGCGCUGGAGAACUGAGGGGGGCUGCUCCUAGUACGAGAGGACCGGAGUGGACGCAUCACUGGUGUUCGGGUUGUCAUGCCAAUGGCACUGCCCGGUAGCUAAAUGCGGAAGAGAUAAGUGCUGAAAGCAUCUAAGCACGAAACUUGCCCCGAGAUGAGUUCUCCCUGACUCCUUGAGAGUCCUGAAGGAACGUUGAAGACGACGACGUUGAUAGGCCGGGUGUGUAAGCGCAGCGAUGCGUUGAGCUAACCGGUACUAAUGAACCGUGAGGCUUAACCUUACAACGCCGAAGGUGUUU